rnacentral:rRNA from 1 species
AUGGCUCUUAGAUUUGGUUUAAUUCUUGCACAAAAAGCGGGAUGCAAUCGUCUUAUUAUUAACUCUGAUAAUAUGGAAGUCAUUGACACAAUGAAGAAUGGAGGACAACCGGCGGGAGUUGCGGCGGUAGUCUUUGAGGUUUGCUACUUCAUGGCAUGUGAUUUUCGGUUGACUAUAUUUGAACAUUGUAAUAGUGUAGCUAAUAAGGUUGCUCAUGAACGUGCUAGGCUAGCGAAAGUUUUUGUAACUAGGGAUUGCUUUGAGGAGCCUAUGGAGAAUAUUGUACCUCUUCUUAUAGACGAUGUAACCAUUAUUUCCAAUUAA